rnacentral:rRNA from 1 species
GACGAACGCUGGCGGCGUGCCUAAUACAUGCAAGUCGAACGCAUUUUCUUUCAACUUGGCUUGCUACACCUACCGAAAGUGAGUGGCGUACGGGUGAGUAACACGUCGUUAAACUGCGCGUCAGCGUGGGAUAACACGUGGUAACAGCUGCUAAUACCGCGUAAUUCCAUUUACCGCAUGGUAGAUCGGUGAUAGGCGCUCUUGUGUCACGGAUGGCUGCGCCCGCGGUGCAUUAGCUAGUUGGUGGGGUAACGGGCUACCAAGGCUGCGAUGCAUAGGCGACCUGAGAGGGUGAUCGGCCACACUGAGACUGAGACACGGCCCAGACUCCUACGGGAGGCAGCAGUAGGGAAUCUUCGGCAAUGGACCGAAGUCUGACCGAGCAACGCCGCGUGAGUGAAGAAGGUUUUCGGAUUGUAAAACUCUGUUGUUAGGGAAGAAAAAGGAUGAGAGUGGAAAGUUCAUCCCUUGACGGUAUCUAACCAGAAAGCCACGGCUAACUACGUG